GAUCAUAGCUGUGAAACUAAGAGGAUCUCAAUGGAUCUGAUCUCAUUCCUGAUGCUCACUCUCUUCUGUCUUAUUCUCCUCUCACUCUGGAGUCAGAGCUCUGGGAGAGGGAAGCUCCCUCCUGGCCCCACUCCUGUUCCGAUAUUGUCAGUUUACUCCAGCUAGAUGUGAAGAACAUCACCCAAUCCUCAACCAAUGUAAAUAUGUUUCUCAAAAGUCUAUGGCCCUGUGUUCACUCUGUACUUGGGCAUGAAGCCCACUGUGGUGUUACAUGGAUAUGAAGCAGUGAAAGAAGCCUUGAUUGAUCAUGGGGAGGAGUUUGCUGUAAAAGGAAUCUUUCCACUAGCUGAAAAAAAUAGUAAAGGCCUUGGAAUUCACACUCAUGACCUUGAAGAAUUUGGGCAUGGGGAAAAGGAACAUUGAGGACCGUGUUCAAGAGGAAGCACAGUGUCUUGUGGAAGAACUGAGGAAAACCAAUGGCUCACUUUGUGAUCCUACUUUCAUUCUGGGCUGUGCUCCUUGCAAUGUCACCUGCUCCAUUAUUUUCCAGAAUCAUUUUGAUUAUAAAGAUCAGGAUUUCCUUAGCUUGAUGGAAAAAAUCAAUGAGAACACCAAGAUUGUGAGCACCCCAUGGAUACAGUUAUGUAGUUUUCCCCCGUUCUCAUUGUUUAUUGUCCAGGAAGUCAUAAGACAGUACCUGAAAAUGCUUAUUACAUUGAAAUCUACAUUCUGAAGAAAAUAAAAGAACAUCAAGAAUCACUGGAUGUUACAAAUCCUCUGGACUUUAUUGAUUAUUACCUAAUUAAGUGCAAGCAGGUGCUGGGACAGAGACAAGCACAACACUGAGAUAUGCACUCUUGCUCCUGAUGACGUAUCCAGAAGUCACAGCUAAAAUCCAGGAUGAAAUUGAUCAUGUUGUUGGCCAACAUCGCAGCCUAUACAUGCAGGACAGGAGUCACAUGUCCUACACAUUUGCCAUGAUUCACUAGGUCCAGAGGUUCAUUGACCUCCUCCCUACUAACCUGCCACAUGCAGUGACCUGUGACAUUAAGUUCAGGAAUUACAUUAUUCUCAAGGGAACAGCAGUAAUAACCUCAUUAUCAUCAGUUCUGCAUGACAGGAAGGAAUUCCUCAACCCAGAGAUGUUUGAUCCUGGCCACUUUCUAGAUGGAAAUGGAAACUUUAAGAAAAGUGACCACUUCAUGCCUUUCUCAGCCGGAAAACGGGUGUGUGUAGGAGAGGAUCUCGCCUGCAUGGAGCUAUUUUUAUUCCUGACCACGGCUUUACAGAAUUUUAAGCUGAAACCUCUGGUUCAUCCAAAAGACAUCAAUACCACUCCAGUGUUAAAUGGAUUUGCCUCUGUGCCACUGUUUUAUGAGCUGUGUUCCAUUCCUCUCUAAAGAGAGCAAAUUGCCUGGCUCCUGAUGGGUUGUCCUUUCUCUC